ACGAAAACCUGYGAACACGUUYAAAAAUUCGCGUCGGGCGUCGGGGUAAAACCUGCGCCCCUCGCCACCUGCCCGGCCGAACGGCGACCAUACCGGGCUGUCGGUCGCGUCGGGCAACCGAAUCAAAAAUCGGCGCGGGAAGCGCCAAGGACUUUACGAAAUGGGAUGCCUUCCUGCGGAGAGGGGCCGUUCGCGGAUUCCUCGCCGUGGGGCUAGAGGCGCCUCCGAACGAAACAUUACACGACUCUCGGCAACGGAUAUCUAGGCUCUCGCAUCGAUGAARAACGUAGCAAACUGCGAUACUUGGUGUGAAUUGCAGAAUCCCGUGAACCAUCGAGUCUUUGAACGCAAGUUGCGCCCGAAGCCAUUAGGCCGAGGGCACGUCUGCCUGGGCGUCACGCAUCGCGUCGCCCCCCCUUGGACCCUGUGCAUGGAGUCCCUCACCGAGGGACGACCGGCACGACCAGCGACCCCAG
rnacentral:misc_RNA from 1 species